CGGAACGAUGGGAGCUUGCUCCCAGGCGUCGAGCGGCGGACGGGUGAGUAACACUUAGGAAUCUACCUAGUAGUGGGGGAUAGCUCGAGGAAACUCGAAUUAAUACCGCAUACGUCCUACGGGAGAAAGGGGGCAACUUGUUGCUCUCGCUAUUAGAUGAGCCUAAGUCGGAUUAGCUAGUUGGUGGGGUAAAGGCCUACCAAGGCGACGAUCUGUAGCUGGUCUGAGAGGAUGAUCAGCCACACCGGGACUGAGACACGGCCCGGACUCCUACGGGAGGCAGCAGUGGGGAAUAUUGGACAAUGGGGGCAACCCUGAUCCAGCCAUGCCGCGUGUGUGAAGAAGGCCUUUUGGUUGUAAAGCACUUUAAGCAGUGAAGAAGACCAUAUGGUUAAUACCCAUAUGCGAUGACAUUAGCUGCAGAAUAAGCACCGGCUAACUCUGUGCCAGCAGCCGCGGUAAUACAGAGGGUGCAAGCGUUAAUCGGAAUUACUGGGCGUAAAGCGAGCGUAGGUGGCUUGAUAAGUCAGAUGUGAAAUCCCCGGGCUUAACCUGGGAACUGCAUCUGAUACUGUCAGGCUAGAAUAGGUGAGAGGAAGGUAGAAUUCCAGGUGUAGCGGUGAAAUGCGUAGAGAUCUGGAGGAAUACCGAUGGCGAAGGCAGCCUUCUGGCAUCAUAUUGACACUGAGGUUCGAAAGCGUGGGUAGCAAACAGGAUUAG
rnacentral:rRNA from 1 species